CUAAACUCUUCCCUUGAAGGCAGCGAAAUAUGCAGAUUUACACUUCCAGAAUAUGCUUGUGGAUUGGGGUCCAAUCUGACAGCGGGCCAGCUCUUUGCCAUUCUCCAGUGCCACAUCACGGAUCCCACAGCCCGGCUGGAUCAAGGGGCUUUCUUGCUGCUGUUUGGCCACGUGGAUAAAGACACCUUGCAGGCUGCUCUGUCUGAGAUCAGUGUGCAGAUCUCCAAGGACACAGUCCCAGAGACGACUAAAGCCUUCUUGCUGAAUGCAGCAUGGGAAAAGCUCAAGACGGACUCCCAGGUUCAGAGUGCAGGCUUCCUCGCCGCCUGGU